rnacentral:rRNA from 1 species
UACGGGGGGGGGCAAGCGUUGUUCGGAAUUACUGGGCGUAAAGCGCGCGUAGGCGGCUUUGUAAGUUAGAGGUGAAAGCCCGAAGCUCAACUCCGGAAUUGCCUUUAAGACUGCAUCGCUAGAAUCAUGGAGAGGUUAGUGGAAUUCCGAGUGUAGAGGUGAAAUUCGUAGAUAUUCGGAAGAACACCAGUGGCGAAGGCGACUAACUGGACAUGUAUUGACGCUGAGGUGCGAAAGCGUGGGGAGCAAACAGG